GAAGGUAUAACCCAGUGGAAGAGUGUGUGCUUAGUAUGCAUGUGGUCCUAGGUUCAAUGCUCAGUACUUCCA
rnacentral:tRNA from 1 species